CAGCCGCCGCGGUAAUACGUAGGGCGCAAGCGUUAUCCGGAAUUAUUGGGCGUAAAGAGCUCGUAGGCGGUUUGUCGCGUCUGCCGCGAAAGUCCGGGGCUCAACCCCGGAUCUGCGGUGGGUACGGGCAGACUAGAGUGAUGUAGGGGAGACUGGAAUUCCUGGUGUAGCGGUGAAAUGCGCAGAUAUCAGGAGGAACACCGAUGGCGAAGGCAGGUCUCUGGGCAUUAACUGACGCUGAGGAGCGAAAGCAUGGGGAGCGAACAGGAUUAGAUACCCGCGUAGUCCCUGUCUCUUAUAC
rnacentral:rRNA from 1 species